UAUGGCAGAUUAGUGCA
rnacentral:tRNA from 1 species